GGAGCGCGGUCAGACAGCUGCAAGUUUGGCUGCUACUAAACCAACUGCUAGAUGCAGCAAAUGCUGGCUUCAAAACAAAAGGGAGAGGAAUCACGCUCGCUCUCUUCCUCCCCCCGGUCGGAACCCGGCACAUGACAGCCGCUACACAGCGCGGCAAAAACGCCAGCCCAGCACCAGCCGCGAGCCCCCCAGAACCCUCCUCCCCACCAGAGCUCCAGGGCUACGGCUCCCCACGGGGCGGGGCACCCGACAGGGAAGAGGCAAACCUCGGCAGGAGCGAGAUGGGGGAGUGCGGUCCUCGACAGAGAGUGGCACCGUGGAUGAGUGCGGAUGCCUGGCUACCCCCGGCGCAGGGAAGGGGAAGAGGAACGGGCUAAUUGUUUGGGGCGGUUUUCCCAGAUUAAUCUAUAAGCAAGCGCUCGUCACGCAGCUCACCUCCUGGGUCCCCGAAUCUAUCGGCAAGCUGAGGGAAAGAGAAUGUAGGAGAGUGACGUCCAGGCCCCGCCCUCCCCUCCGGCCACGUGCAAGGACUUGAAAGGAAAGAGGACCGCGGGAAGCCUGCUGGGCCUCUCACCUAUUCUCCCCUUUGAUGUUGACGUAUGGAAGGCAGGGGUGAAAUCAACAUGGACAGAGAUUACAUUCUGGAGGCAGAGAUUCGGGCCAAAGAGUUCAAGGGAAGAUAUGGUUGGAAGGCAUGCUGUUCUGUUUACAUUGCACAACUUUAGAAGAGAUGAUGACGAGGCCGCAAUAAUGCACUGACAGUAAGAACAGGAAAAGAUACUUCAUGGUCCUGAACAGGAAGAGAUGGUGCCUGGACACUACGAAAAUCUCCACAGGUAUUGGUGAGACAAUAAACAAACAUAAACUUCAGAUCAAUGGAGGGACUCCAGGGACAUAGGGAGCAACUCCUCUGGAGGCACAUCCGUCCUCUCUGAGGAAUGGAGCUGUGACUCAGACCCCGUCAAUGAGUGACUGCAAGGACCUAGGAGAUGGGCCUGGGACACCGCCUGAGCCUGUGGGAGUCAUUCCAGGCCUUUCCUUAAGCUGUGGAGGUGUCUUUUGCAGCAUCUCCUAACAGGAAGUGGAUCCUAUUUCCCUACUUCUUGAAUCUGGGCUGGUUUACGACUUACUUUGAAGAAUAGGACAGAAGGGAAGUGUGCCAGUUGCAAGCCUAGGUCACGACCACGGGAAAAAGCCCAGGCUGGCCUCCUGGAGGAUCAGAGGCCAUGUGGAGGAAAUCCGCAGCUCUCCAGACCAUGGCCAGUGAACUCAUGUAAGCAGAGCCACUUAGCCACCCCGCCACUGAUGGUAGGUGCAUGAGGGAGCCCAGCAAAAAGCAGAAGAACAAACCACCCAAGUGAGCCUACUCUAAGUUACUGGUUGCGGAAUUGGCUAAAUGAAUGCUGGUUGUCUUAAGCAACCAAGUGUUGGGAUGAUCUGUUUCCUAGCUGUUAGAUUACUGGUACGCUUAUUAUGACUGAAGGCCUUUAUAAGCAUUAGUCAUGCACACUAGCUUUGGAGACAGACAAAUCUGAUUUUGAGUCCUGGCUCUAUAACUUACUAGCUGUGUGACCUUGGGCAAGUUUUUUAAACUGUCUCUUCAGAUUUCUCAUGUGUAAAAUGGAUAUUAUAAUAAUAGUACUUCUAGAGUUUUAAGAUA